rnacentral:rRNA from 1 species
AUUGAACGCUGGCGGCAGGCCUAACACAUGCAAGUCGAACGAGUGGCGGAAGGGUGAGUAAUGUCUGGGACUGUGCCUGAUGGAGGGGUAUCACUACUGGAAACUGUUGCUACUUCCGUACACCUUAAGAUGUGCCCCGGUGGCAUUAGCUAGUUGGUGGGGUAACGGCUCACCAAGGCGACGACCCCUAGCUGGUCUGAGAGGAUGCCCAGCCACACUGGAACUGAGACACGGUCCAGACUCCUACGGGAGGCAGCAGUGGGGAAUAUUGCACAAUGGGCGCAAGCCUGAUGCAGCCAUGCCGCGUGUAUGAAGAAGGCCUUCGGGUUGUAAAGUACUUUCAGCGGGGAGGCGUUACCCGCAGAAGAAGCACCGGCUAACUCCGUGCCAGCAGCCGCGGUAAUUC